rnacentral:rRNA from 1 species
AACCGCGGUUAGACGAAAACCUCAAGUUAAUUGACAAACGGCGUAAAUUGUGGCUAGAACUCUAUCUCCCCCAUUAGUGCAGAUACGGUAUCACAGUAGUGAUAAACUUCAUCACACCGCAAACAUCAACACAAAACUGGCCCUAAUCUCAAAGAUGUACUCGAUUCCACGAAAGCUGAGAAA